GGUUUGGCAGGUUAACUCAAUACAUUCUCGGUGUAAAUAGUCUUCGUAUCGAUUAAUCGUUAUUUGAAAACAUUGCUGUAAAUUUACUACCAGCAGUUUUCUGAAUAGUUACAUAAAUACUGAACUAUGAAUUUCGUGUUUAUAUCAAUAUGUUGUAGUAGCCUCUGAGACAUUUCUUAUAGAUUUUGCUUUGGCUCAGACGCAAAAUGCAACCGGAAGUGACCUAACAACUGCGUCGGCACCAGCGGAAAAACCAGGGUUUGACUGGAUUGUGUUUGGUGUGGUUCUGUUCUCAGUCCUCGUAUUCGUGUCACUGGCCGUUUCCCUCCCCAUUGGCAUUUACAAGUUCCGGCGGUACCAUUAUAAGCACGGAAUGUAUAAAUCAAAAUCGAAAGUUGAGCAAGAAAUAGGGGAGAGAACUCACGAUAUGUCUAUGUUCACGGUGCAAUCAGAGCAUACUCCCUUUACAGAUCGGCUGGAAAAUGAAACGGAAAACCAGAAUUUCGCAGACCUAUCGAUGGCAGCAUCUGGCUAUUGAACACACAAACAGGUUCCCAUACUAACGCUGCAUGUUAAGUCCGACUUGCCAUCGUUCUCCAUUUAUUUGUGUUACGACAGCAUUGGAAGAUCUCAAUUUACGUCACAACAUGUUCAGAAUGAACGAAUCGCAUACAUUAGACAACCAUUGUAAAUUAGGAUAGCUAGCUUUAAGUGUUUUAAUUUAACAGUUUUACAACGCUGAAGAGUGAAUAUUUCAUGCCACUAAGUUGGUUGCCACAAUGUUACCGGUCCUACCGUAUGUGAAGGUUAACAAUUAAAUGCAAAAAUUCCA